CCUACGGGAGGCAGCAGUAAGGAAUAUUGGUCAAUGGGCGAAAGCCUGAACCAGCCAUGCCGCGUGCAGGAUGAAGGCCCUCUGGGUUGUAAACUGCUUUUAUCAGGGAAUAAACCUCUGGAUUCACUCCGGAGCUGAAGGUACCUGAAGAAUAAGCACCGGCUAACUCCGUGCCAGCAGCCGCGGUAAU
rnacentral:rRNA from 1 species